rnacentral:rRNA from 1 species
CCUACGGGUGGCUGCAGUGGGGAAUAUUGGACAAUGGGGGGAACCCUGAUCCAGCCAUGCCGCGUGUGUGAAGAAGGCCCUCGGGUUGUAAAGCACUUUCAGUGAGGAAGAACGCCUGGUGGUUAAUACCCAUCAGGAAAGACAUCACUCACAGAAGAAGCACCGGCUAACUCCGUGCCAGCAGCCGCGGUAAUACGGAGGGUGCGAGCGUUAAUCGGAAUUACUGGGCGUAAAGCGCGCGUAGGUGGCUUGAUAAGCCGGUUGUGAAAGCCCCGGGCUCAACCUGGGAACGGCAUCCGGAACUGUCAAGUUAGAGUGCAGAGGAGGAAGUAAAAAUUCCCGUUGAAGCGGUAAAUGCGGAGAGAUCCGGGAGAAAUACCGUUGCCAAAGGCGCCCUUCUGACUGACACUGACACUGAGGUGCGAAAGCGUGGGUAGCAAACAGGAUUAGAUACCCUGGUAGUC